rnacentral:rRNA from 1 species
UACGUAGGGUGCAAGCGUUAAUCGGAAUUACUGGGCGUAAAGCGUGCGCAGGCGGUUUUGUAAGUCUGUCGUGAAAUCCCCGGGCUCAACCUGGGAAUGGCGAUGGAGACUGCAAGGCUAGAAUCUGGCAGAGGGGGGUAGAAUUCCAGGUGUAGCAGUGAAAUGCGUAGAGAUCGGGAGGAACACCAGUGGCGAAGGCGACUACCUGGACCAGCACUGACACUGAGGCACGAAAGCGUGGGGAGCAAACAGG